AUGGACAAAUCAAAUCUGCAAAUGGAGAAUGACACGGGCAAGUCGUCAAUUUAUACUUUGGGGAGAGAAGGAGGAAGCAGGGAGCGGGUGGCUGGGGGGGAAACUGGGGGUCGGGAGGGACCUGCCGGGGCUGCCACCACCGCUGCCGCCUGCGCCUCUGCUCGUGGCGUGGGAAAGGCCGCGAGUCCCCGCGCGAGCUGGCAGCGGCGCGGCUGCGGGAGGGUGGGCAGUGGGAAGGUGGAGGCAGAUACAGAUAAACUCAACAUCGACACCAUCAUCCAAUGGCUGCUGGAAGGUGAUAUCCGUGGACAAUGCUAAGAUUUGCUUCGCCUUUAUUUUUAUGGUGGUUUCCCACCAGAAAGCAACUACCUGUUUCUUGGGGACUAUUUGGACAGGGCAAAGCGGUCAUUGGAAACCAUCUGCCUCUUAUAAAAUCAAAUAUCCUGAGAAUUUUUUUCUUCUCAGAGGGAAUCAUGAAUGUGCCAACAUCAAUAGAAUUUAUGGAUUUUAUGAUGAAUGUGAAAGAAGAUACAACAUUAAACUAUGGAAAACUUUCACAGACAGCUUUAACUGUUUACCAAUAGCAGCCAUUGUGGAUGAGAAAACAUUCUCUUGUCAUGGAGGUUUAUCACCAGAUCUUCAAUUUAUGGAGCAGAUUCAGCGAAUUAUACAACCAACCGAUGUACCAGAUCGAGGUCUUCUUUGCGAUCUUUUGUGGUCUGACCCUGAUAAAGAUGUCUUAGGCUGGGUGAAAAUGACAGAGGAGUGUCCUUCACAUUUGGUGCAGAAGUGGUUUCAAAAUUUCUCCAUAAGUAUGAUUUGGAUCUUAUUUGUAGAGCCCAUCAGGUGGUUGAAGAUGAACAGGAAUUUUUUGCAAAGAGACAGUGGGUCACUCUGUUUUCUGCACCCAAUUAUUGUGGAGAGUUUGACAAUGCAGGUGCCAUGAUGAGUGUGGAUGAAAACACUAAGGUGUUCUUUUCAGAUUUUAAAGCCAGCAGAAAAAAAGAAGCCUAAUACCAUGAGACUUAUAACACCUCCAAGGGGUCUGAUCAUAAAGCAAGUAAAGAAAUAGGUGUCAAUUUUGACACUGCCUAGUUGGGACUUGUAACAAAUAGUAUACUAACCUUCAUUUUUAAGACUGUAAUGUGUACUGGUCAGCUUGCUCAGAGAGCUAGAUCUGUGUUUGUGGGGGCCCUUCCUUCUAUUUUUGAUUUAGCAAAUUCCAUUUGCUGGUUAUAACAGAAAAUGAAAGACUCUCCACUCCAAAAAAAGGAAAGUGUUUUGUUUUUUAAUUUCCUUUUCCUUUUGCAAACAAUUUUAAUGAUGGUGUUAAAGCUGUAUACCCCAGGACAGUUUAUCCUGUCUAAGGGGUAAGUGUACAAUUGAUAAUUUUUUAGUUCAGUACAAACCCAUAAUGAGGUAAAUGCUUGUUUUCUUUAGGCUAUAAAGAGAGCCCUAGGGUGCUCUGAAUCUGUACAUGUUCUUGUCAUAAAAUACAUACUGUUGAUACAAACCACUGUGAACAUUUUUUAUUUUAAAAUUUUGUUUCAAAGGGAUUGCUUUUUAUUUUCAUUGUUUUGUCAUGUACAAACUAGUUUUAAUGGCUAUCAACAUUAGGAAUAACUUUCAACCUUGCCAACAUCACUGGUAUGAUGUAUAUUUAAUUAAAGCACACUUCCCCUACCAUAUAUUUAAAAUGACAAUUAAAGCCAUCCUUUUAAAA